rnacentral:tRNA from 1 species
AGGAAUGUAGCUCAGUGGUGCAGCAUCUGCCUGGCAAGCACAAGGUCCUGAGUUCAAUUCCUAGUACUG